UCCUUACGGGGGAGACAGUCAUGAGACGUGAGUAUAAGACCUGAGUGUAAAGACCUUAGGGUGAAGCAAUUGGAGGGCAAGCUUUGGUGCCAGCAGCCGCGGUAACUCCAACUCCAAGAGUGUCUAUGGUGGAUGCUGCAGUUAAAGGGUCCGUAGUCGUGAAUGCAAUUAAAUGUCGUUGUUCAAUAGCGAUGAGUUUGCUAAUGUUUGCGGAACGGAUAGGGAGUGUAGUAUAGACUGGCGAAGAAUGAAAUCUCAAGACCCAGUUUGGACUAACGGAGGCGAAGGCGACACUCUUAGACGUAUCUUAGGAUCAAGGACGAAGGCAGGAGUAUCGAAAGUGAUUAGACACCGCUGUAGUUCCUGCAGUAAACUAUGCCGACAGCCUGUGUGUGAGAAUACGUGGGCGGGAGAAAUCUUAGUGUUCGGGCUCUGGGGAUAGUACGCUCGCAAGGGUGAAACUUAAAGCGAAAUUGACGGAAGGACACUACCAGGAGUGGAUUGUGCUGCUUAAUUUAACUCAACGCGGGAAAACUUACCAGGGUCAAGUCAUUCGUUGAUCGAAUACGUGAGAAUGG
rnacentral:rRNA from 1 species